UGUACCCUGGUUUCUCUCAAGACUUUCUCCCUCUACCACCAAAAAGGAGUUCUUUUCCACAGUUGCCUGUGACUUGCUCAUCAAAGGUCCGAAGCAUUAAAGGAGCUCCAGUGUUUACACAGAACUCAGCCUCAGUAUUGGCCGAUGCAUGCGUGUGAUGCUGACGGAGGAGCCGGUGUUCAGAUCUGUCUGGACUCUCAUUCUGAUGGCACCCAUUCAUUGUUUAGGAUCCAUUGGUGAUCAAGUGAUGCAAUGCUACAUUCUGCAAAUCUGUUCUGAUGGCGAAACUCACUUACAUAGUCUGAGGGGUUGAGUCUGGUCACGUGAAACUCAGGAAGGGAGGAGAGCUCAUCCUCAGCAUCACGCAGGGCAUCAGAGAAACAUGAACACCGAAGACUCUGCUGAACUGAUCCGAGCCAUCACAACAGAGCAGUUAAAAAACAAUGACCUUGACAGGCUUGUUGCUAAUAUGCCAAAUUAUUUAAUUUUUUUCACAAUACAUUUUCUUAUGUUAUACGACAGGAUUCAGGAUUUUUGAAGAAUGUCUGAAUCAAGUCUAUAGGUCUAUUUUUUAACGAAGUGACCUAUAGGGUUGUUCAUCGACUUUAUAUGACUCGCACUCAUCCAUACACUUUAAAAAAAAAAAAGGUUCUUUAUUGGCAGCAAUGGUUCCACAAAGAACCUUCAACAUUCAUGGAACGUUCUCAUUCCAGGUUCUUUAGAUUAUAAAUUCUUUUUCUGAAAGUUUCUUUGGGGAACCAAAACUGGUUCUUCUAAGGCAUCAUUGUG